UAGGGAAUCUUCCGCAAUGGACGAAAGUCUGACGGAGCAACGCCGCGUGAGUGAAGAAGGAUUUCGGUUCGUAAAACUCUGUUGUUAGGGAAGAAAAAAUGUAUAGUAACUAUAUACAAAAGAGACGGUACCUAACCAGAAAGCCACGGCUAACUACGUGCCAGCAGCCGCGGUAAUACGUAGGUGGCAAGCGUUGUCCGGAAUUAUUGGGCGUAAAGCGCGCGCAGGUGGUUUAGAAAGUCUGAUGUGAAAGCCCACGGCUCAACCGUGGAGGGUCAUUGGAAACUGUUUAACUUGAGUGCAGAAGGGGAGAGUGGAAUUCCAUGUGUAGCGGUGAAAUGCGUAGAUAUAUGGAGGAACACCGGUGGCGAAAGCGGCUCUCUGGUCUGUAACUGACGCUGAGGCUCGAAAGCGUGGGGAGCGAACAGG
rnacentral:rRNA from 1 species